GAUGAACGCUGGCGGCGUGCCUAAUACAUGCAAGUCGAGCGAACAGAUAAGGAGCUUGCUCCUUUGACGUUGGCGGCGGACGGGUGAGUAACACGUGGUUAACCUACCUAUAAGACUGGAAUAACUCCGGGAAACCGGGGCUAAUGCCGGAUAACAUUUAGAACCGCAUGGUUCUAAAGUGAAAGAUGGUUUUGCUAUCACUUAUAGAUGGACCCGCGCCGUAUUAGCUAGUUGGUAAGGUAACGGCUUACCAAGGCAACGAUGCGUAGCCGACCUGAGAGGGUGAUCGCCCACACUGGAACUGAGCCACGGUCCAGACUCCUACGGGAGGCAGCAGUAGGGAAUCUUCCGCAAUGGGCGAAAGCCUGACGGAGCAACGCCGCGUGAGUGAUGAAGGUCUUCGGAUCGUAAAAAUCUGUUAUUAGGGAAGAACAAAUGUGUAAGUAACUGUGCACGUCUUGACGGUACCUAAUCAGAAAGCCACGGCUAACUACGUG
rnacentral:rRNA from 1 species